UAAAAGGUUCUUUUUGGAACCGUCUCAUAAAACCUAAACCACGUUGU
rfam:Dendroctonus ponderosae Seq01040553, whole genome shotgun sequence.